AACGAACGCUGGCGGCAUGCCUAACACAUGCAAGUCGAACGGGAUCCUAGCUUGCUAGGUGAGAGUGGCGGACGGGUGAGUAACACGUGGGAAUCUGCCUUUUGGUUCGGGAUAACCGCGGGAAACUGCGGCUAAUACCGAAUGCCCUCGAGAGAGGAAAGAUUUAUCGCCAGAAGAGGAGCCCGCGUCCGAUUAGGUAGUUGGUGGGGUAAAGGCCUACCAAGCCGACGAUCGGUAGCUGGUCUGAGAGGAUGAUCAGCCACACUGGGACUGAGAUACGGCCCAGACUCCUACGGGAGGCAGCAGUGGGGAAUAUUGGACAAUGGGGCGAACCCUGAUCCAGCAAUGCCGCGUGAGUGAUGAAGGCCUUAGGGUUGUAAAGCUCUUUUGCCAGGAGAUGAUGACUGUACCUGGAGAAUAAGACCCCGGCUAACUUACGUGCCAGCAGCCGCGGUAAU
rnacentral:rRNA from 1 species